GCUUGGGAAUUUCAUUCAGCAUCAACAUUUAGUUUGAGGAAAGGAGGCUUCGGUGGAAUCCACUUGUCAUUAGUAAACGAACUAGGAGUUGGAAUAGAAUACAUAAUUGAAGGAGCAGAAGACAAAAUAGUCCUUACUUUCUAGAGCUGAUGCUAAAGUGAAGGAGUUGCGACAUUCAAUUGACGUUCUAAAGCCUAAAGUGAAUGUGCAUGUCUUCAUAAUUAUAUACGGCGACGUGCACAUCGUGAUAGACAUUUUGUCUGCAGUGAAUAAAGAGAAGGUGAUGGGUCAAAUGGUAGGAUAGAGAUGGAUGAUGACGUAGAAGAAGAA